CAGGAGCUUGCUCCUGUGAUUAGUGGCGAACGGGUGAGUAACACGUGAGUAACCUGCCCCUGACUCUGGGAUAAGCGUUGGAAACGACGUCUAAUACUGGAUACGACUGCCGGCCGCAUGGUCUGGUGGUGGAAAGAUUUUUUGGUUGGGGAUGGACUCGCGGCCUAUCAGCUUGUUGGUGAGGUAAUGGCUCACCAAGGCGACGACGGGUAGCCGGCCUGAGAGGGUGACCGGCCACACUGGGACUGAGACACGGCCCAGACUCCUACGGGAGGCAGCAGUGGGGAAUAUUGCACAAUGGGCGAAAGCCUGAUGCAGCAACGCCGCGUGAGGGAUGACGGCCUUCGGGUUGUAAACCUCUUUUAGUAGGGAAGAAGCGAAAGUGACGGUACCUGCAGAAAAAGCACCGGCUAACUACGUGCCAGCAGCCGCGGUAAUACGUAGGGUGCAAGCGUUGUCCGGAAUUAUUGGGCGUAAAGAGCUCGUAGGCGGUUUGUCGCGUCUGCUGUGAAAUCCCGAGGCUCAACCUCGGGCUUGCAGUGGGUACGGGCAGACUAGAGUGCGGUAGGGGAGAUUGGAAUUCCUGGUGUAGCGGUGGAAUGCGCAGAUAUCAGGAGGAACACCGAUGGCGAAGGCAGAUCUCUGGGCCGUAACUGACGCUGAGGAGCGAAAGCGUGGGGAGCGAACAGGAUUAGAUACCCUGGUAGUCCACGCCGUAAACGUUGGGCGCUAGAUGUAGGGACCUUUCCACGGUUUCUGUGUCGUAGCUAACGCAUUAAGCGCCCCGCCUGGGGAGUACGGCCGCAAGGCUAAAACUCAAAGGA
rnacentral:rRNA from 1 species